rnacentral:rRNA from 1 species
UACCCGCAGCACAAGUGGUGGUCAUUAUUAUUGGGCCUAAAGCGUCCGUAGCUGGCUUGUUAGAUGCCUGGGUAAAUCGAUGCGCUUAACGCAUCGAAUUCCGGGUAGACCGGCAAGCUCGAGACCGGGAGAGGUGUAGGCUACUCGAGGGGUAGGGGUAAAAUCCUGUAAUCCUUCGGGGAGGACCAGUGGCGAAGGCGCUACACUAGAACGGCUCUGACAGUGAGGGACGAAGCCCUGGGGCGCAA